AUGACCAGGAUGUACCUCGAGGAGAGAGAGCUACAGGGGAAAUUAACAAUCCACUUCUUGAAAAAGAAGUGGGAAAACCUUAAACAAAAGUACAAGCUGAAAUUAAUGUGAGGCCAGCCAGCCAGCCUUCACAUGCUCUGGAAGAAAAUCUGCAACUAAGGUUUCAACAUGACAAGCCUCGCAAUGGAUGGACACCUGGCCACCGCUCCUCCGCCUCCUUCGGAACGGAUGACUGUGGGGGGGAUCUCCAAGGAAAUGGACACGGGACCGGGUUUGGAAUUUCGGACUUGUAGGCUAUAGAUUUGGGGUGCCCCGGGACUCUUUUAGAUUUCUGUUAGUUAAUAAAUAUUAUUUUAAAACUCAAUAUUUGUGUCUUGGCGUAUUUGUGGUGUACAGUAGGCCUACUCUCCAGGGUAUUUGGUAACAAGGAGAGGUGUCGCUGGAAAAAUGCGCACUCUCACCUGCGACACAUAACCCGACAGUUGGUUACACUUAAUUUGAGCACGAAAACAGCAAUAUCAGUCGCUUGCUAAUUUUUGCCAAUGUGACAACAUUAAAUUCAUUAGGGAAGUGUAGGUUAGGUUAUCGCCCCAGCUGUUGGCGAUGUGAGAUAAAUAGCCAACGCUUACACGCUCAAACGAAGCGCUGUUAGGUUACUGCGGUGAGGUGUAUUGCACUCUCCGUAAUUUUUACCAAACGAAAAAAGUAUCCACAUCCAGAAAACAAGUCUGAAGUUGCAAUAUUAGACGUUUCAAAUCUUGCGAUGCGAGAAUCGGUAUGGCUUCUGGCUACACUCAAUUUACAUUUUGUCAGAGCUUGCACAUUAAUGGCAAUU